UUAACGCAAAUUUGUAUGGAGUACUAUGGAGUUGGAACAUUUGGCUACGUUUUCCGCUAGGGGCGCUGUUCCAACUGUAUACAAAUUUGAGUUA
rnacentral:pre_miRNA from 1 species